UACGGAGGGUGCAAGCGUUGCUCGGAAUUAUUGGGCGUAAAGGGUAGGUAGGUGGUCUCGUUUGUCUGGGGUGAAAGCCUUGAGCUUAACUCAAGAAGUGCCCCAGAAACGGCGAGACUGGAGUCUUGGAGAGGGUCGUGGAAUUCCCGGUGUAGCGGUGAAAUGCGUAGAGAUCGGGAGGAACAUCAGUGGCGAAGGCGGCCAUCUGGGACAACACUGACGCUGAGGCACGAAAGCGUGGGGAGCAAACAGG
rnacentral:rRNA from 1 species